UCCGUAGGGUGCAAGCGUUAAUCGGAAUUACUGGGCGUAAAGCGUGCGCAGGCGGUGAUGUAAGACAGUUGUGAAAUCCCCGGGCUCAACCUGGGAACUGCAUCUGUGACUGCAUAGCUAGAGUACGGUAGAGGGGGAUGGAAUUCCGCGUGUAGCAGUGAAAUGCGUAGAUAUGCGGAGGAACACCGAUGGCGAAGGCAAUCCCCUGGACCUGUACUGACGCUCAUGCACGAAAGCGUGGGGAGCAAACAGG
rnacentral:rRNA from 1 species